AAUCGUGGUGAAUUUCUACGUGAACUUCUACAAAGACAUUCAAAGAAUUUUUUUCCAUACAUUAUAUAUCCAAAAUAUGUGUUCUUAAACAAAACUAGAUUAGAAUGUCAAAAAUAUUCGUGGGCCUUAGACCUUGUACAUAGGUGAUACGCUGUUAGUAAGAGUUAUCGUUCUUUGAUUUUGUAAACGAUCAAAAUAACCUCUAAAAUCAUUAUUUCUCUUUUUUCCCCUACAAAUUAUGUUUAAACAGUGAUAAUCUAUACAUAUAUGUUUUAAAACACAUUCAAAAUAUCGUAUUUAAUGGUGGGACUUGUUUUCCUCCGUGGGACUCAUGUAGGACUUAUUUUCUCCGUGGGACUUGUUUUAGUAUGACCCGGCAGGAUGACAGAAUGGCGGUUUAUUUGACAACGGUGGAUGUACAUGGAUAUCCAAAGUCGACUUCAUAGUCAGUCACAGGAUUGCAUGGAUGUUUGGAUCUCGUAGACAAACCCCCGUCGUGUUUCCCGUCACAGCAUGAGUCCAAGUCGAGGAUAAAUUGGUUGUCAUUGAAGUAUACCACAGUGAUAGCGACAUUACUACAGGUUAUCCAUGCUGUCUCUGCUGAAUCGAUUCCAGAACGAUAGGAGCAGAUGCUAUGUACGCAUGCUACCUACAUAGUUUGCCAUGUAUUUGGGAGAGCAUAGAUUUAACAACUGGUUUUAUCAUCAGUUGAUAGCAUCAUGUGGACUGUUUCAAGUGACAGUGACAAAUGGAAAAUCUGUGAGGUAUUUUCUUGUUACAACAUGGCAUAUGCAAAGUGAUUAUUUUAUGAAAAUAUUUGCAUAUUUAUGCUAAAACAUUGUAAGUGAUGUAUAUAUAUUUCAAGAUUGCUCAAAAUAAACAGAUUAAGCAAGUAAUUGAACAGUUUUUGAAGGUAAACAAAAUCUGCAUACAUAAAAAUAUUGCAAAAAUACAAGAUUAAUGGAAAUUUUCAAAAUAUGUUGUUCACUACUCAGUUAGACAUUGCCAUUAUUAUUUUUCAAUGUUUUACAUAUUGUUUUCAAUAUGUGAUGGGACGUAAACACAGUCAAUCAAUCAAUGUUAUAAAAUACAAUGUACACGUAAAUUACAUAUUGUUUGUCAAUAAAUACAUAUGAAUUACAUACUGUUUGUCAAUAAAUACACUUGAAUUACAUAUUGUUUGUCAAUAAAUGCAUGUGAAUUACAUAUUGUUUGUAAAUGAAUACACAUGAAUUACAUAUUGUUUGACAAUAAAUACACUUGAAUUACAUAUUGUUUGUCAAUAAAUAUACAUGAAUUACAUAUUGUUUGUCAAUAAAUACACAUGAAUUACAUAUUGUUUGUCAAUAAAUGCACAUAAAUUACAUUGUUUGUCAAUAAAUACAUAUGAAUUACAUAUUGUUUGUCAAUAAAUACACAUGAAUUACAUUGUUUGUCUAUAAAUACAUAUGAAUUACAUAUUGUUUGUUAAUAAAUACAUAUGAAGUACAUAUUGUUUGUCAAUAAAUGCACAUGAAUUACAUAUUGUUUGUCAAUAAAUACACAUGAAUUACAUAUUGUUUGUCAAUAAAUACACAUGAAUUACAUAUUGUUUGUCAAUAAAUACAUAUGAAUUACAUAUUGUUUGUCAAUAAAUACAUAUGAAGUACAUAUUGUUUGUAAAUAAAUACAUAUGAAGUACAUAUUGUUUGUAAAUAAAUACUUUUAUACACAGGAAGUACAUAUUGUUUGUCAAUAAAUACAUAUGAAGUACAUAUUGUUUGUAAAUAAAUACACAGGAAGUACUUAAAUAGAUAUGCACUUACCAUAGACAAGGUGUUAAUGAUUGACACUUGUAAUUUUUUUUUGCUUGUAAGAAUUAUACACAAUUUUCUAGAAUUGUUAUUUUAAAUCAACUAUUAAAAAUUUAUACUUGAUUUAGUCAACAUGGAUACAAACCUGUUAAAAUGGGGUAAUGUAAAUCUAUCAUUACAAAUCAAUGCCAUAAUUUUUGCAUUUGUUCAUAGAUUUAUAGAUAGAUCCCUUAGAUUUAUAGAUAGAUCCCGUAGAUUUAUAAAUAGAUCCAGUUGAUAUAUAGAUAGAUCCCGUAGAUUUAUAGAUAGAUCCCUUAGAUUUAUAGAUAGAUACAAUAGAUUUAUAGAUAGAUCCCUUAGAUUUAAAUACUGUAGAUUCCUUAUUUUACGCGAGUACUUAUCGCAGAAUGACACCAUCACUCGUAGACGUCCAAUCACGAGAACAUGAAUUCGGAGUUUUCCGUUGUUCAAGAGUUUUGCAAUAUAGAUAUAAAAGCGAAUAUUUAUAUUUCGCAGGUGAUACUUGUUGUGAAAUUGCAUUAGAAUAAUUUCCUCACGUAUAUUUAGUCUAAAUCUACUGUAAUUACUAAAUAGUAUGUUAUUAAACCUUGUUUCACCUGUAUUUUAUGCAAUUACAUGUAUCUGAUAAAUUGUUUUUUCAAAAGUUCAAUGUACAUGAAACGCACGAUACAUAUAUGUAAGACUCUAAAGUGUGAUGGUCGCUCCAAAGUGCGAUGGUCACUGAUGCCAAAGUGCGAUGGUCUGCGCCAAAGUGCAAUGGGUUUUUAACGUUACGGACGACAAAGUGCGAUGGCCACGCCAAAGUCCGAUGAUGUGGACAUUCAGUAACGUUUGUGACAUCACGUCAUUGUGACGUCAUUCUUAACGUCUUUCAAAAUAAAACCGAAGAAA